UACGUAGGGGGCAAGCGUUGUCCGGAAUUAUUGGGCGUAAAGAGCGUGUAGGCGGUCCGGUAAGUCAGCUGUGAAAGUCAAGGGCUCAACCCUUGAAAGCCGGUUGAUACUGUCGGGCUAGAGUCCGGAAGAGGCGAGUGGAAUUCCCGGUGUAGCGGUGAAAUGCGUAGAGAUCGGGAGGAACAUCAGUGGCGAAGGCGGCCAUCUGGGACAACACUGACGCUGAAGCACGAAAGCGUGGGGAGCAAACAGG
rnacentral:rRNA from 1 species